GACAGAGGUCCCAAGCGUUAGGCGGAAUCACUGGGCUUAAAGCGUGUGUAGGCGGAUUUGUAAGUACCUUGUGAAAUCCCACGGCUCAACCGUGGAACUGCUUGGUAUACUGCUUAUCUUGGGUCAUCUAGGGGCUACCGGAACAAGUGGUGGAGCGGUGAAAUGCGUAGAUAUCUGGAGGAACACCGGUGGCGAAGGCGGCAUCCUGGACCAACACUGACGCUGAGGAGCGAAAGCCAGGGGAGCAAACGGG
rnacentral:rRNA from 1 species